AAGGGGAUCAUUACCGAGUUUACAACUCCCAAACCCAAUGUGAACGUUACCAAACUGUUGCCUCGGCGGGGUCACGCCCCGGGUGCGUCGCAGCCCCGGAACCAGGCGCCCGCCGGAGGAACCAACCAAACUCUUUCUGUAGUCCCCUCGCGGACGUAUUUCUUACAGCUCUGAGCAAAAAUUCAAAAUGAAUCAAAACUUUCAACAACGGAUCUCUUGGUUCUGGCAUCGAUGAAGAACGCAGCGAAAUGCGAUAAGUAAUGUGAAUUGCAGAAUUCAGUGAAUCAUCGAAUCUUUGAACGCACAUUGCGCCCGCCAGUAUUCUGGCGGGCAUGCCUGUCCGAGCGUCAUUUCAACCCUCGAACCCCUCCGGGGGAUCGGCGUUGGGGAUCGGGACCCCUCACACGGGUGCCGGCCCCGAAAUACAGUGGCGGUCUCGCCGCAGCCUCUCCUGCGCAGUAGUUUGCACAACUCGCACCGGGAGCGCGGCGCGUCCACGUCCGUAAAACACCCAACUUUCUGAAAUGUUGACCUCGGAUCAGGUAGGAAUACCCGCUGAACUUAAGCAUAUCAAUAAGCGGAGGAA
rnacentral:rRNA from 1 species